rnacentral:rRNA from 1 species
GUGGGGAAUAUUGGACAAUGGGCGCAAGCCUGAUCCAGCAAUGCCGCGUGCAGGAAGAAGGCCUUCGGGUUGUAAACUGCUUUUGUACGGAACGAAAAGGCUCUGGUUAAUACCUGGGGCUCAUGACGGUACCGUAAGAAUAAGCACCGGCUAACUACGUGCCAGCAGCCGCGGUAAUACGUAGGGUGCAAGCGUUAAUCGGAAUUACUGGGCGUAAAGCGUGCGCAGGCGGUUUUGUAAGACAGGUGUGAAAUCCCCGGGCUCAACCUGGGAACUGCACUUGUGACUGCAAGGCUAGAGUGUGUCAGAGGGAGGUGGAAUUCCGCGUGUAGCAGUGAAAUGCGUAGAGAUGCGGAGGAACACCGAUGGCGAAGGCAGCCUCCUGGGAUAACACUGACGCUCAGGCACGAAAGCGUGGGGAGCAAACAGGAUUAGAAACCCUUGUAGUCC